rnacentral:hammerhead_ribozyme from 1 species
AUCCAGCUGACGAGUCCCGAAUUGGACGGAAUGUGCAUCCUGGAU